CCUACGGGAGGCAGCAGUAGGGAACCUUCCGCAAUGGACGCAAGUCUGACGGAGCAACGCCGCGUGAGUGACGAAGGUUUUCGGAUCGUAAAACUCUGUUGUGAGGGAAGAACACGUACCAGCUAACUACUGGUACCUUGACGGUACCUCACCAGAAAGCCACGGCUAACUACGUGCCAGCAGCCGCGGUAAUACGUAGGUGGCAAGCGUUGUCCGGAAUUAUUGGGCGUAAAGCGCGCGCAGGCGGUCCUUUAAGUCUGAUGUGAAAGCCCACGGCUCAACCGUGGAGGGUCAUUGGAAACUGGAGGACUUGAGUGCAGAAGAGGAAAGUGGAAUUCCAUGUGUAGCGGUGAAAUGCGUAGAGAUGUGGAGGAACACCAGUGGCGAAGGCGACUUUCUGGUCUGUAACUGACGCUGAGGCGCGAAAGCGUGGGGAGCAAACAGGAUUAGAUACCCUGGUAGUCCACGCCGUAAACGAUGAGUGCUAAGUGUUAGGGGGUUUCCGCCCCUUAGUGCUGCAGCUAACGCAUUAAGCACUCCGCCUGGGGAGUACGGCCGCAAGGCUGAAACUCAAAUGAAUUGACGG
rnacentral:rRNA from 1 species